GGUACAGAGUCUCACAUACUUCAGAGACAAAAAUAAAUUUCUUUUUUCCUUUUUUCUUUCCAGAUCAGCUCCUAACCAAACUUUUUUUCGACUCUUACACAUUAUUUUUAUUUUUGACAAUCAAACGGAUAAACAAUUAGUAACACAAUUAAACAUAGAUGUGUAGAAAAAUAAAAAUAGUGUGUUUAUCAUAUCUUUUUU
rnacentral:lncRNA from 1 species